rnacentral:rRNA from 1 species
UACGUAGGGGGCUAGCGUUGCUCGGAUUUAUUGGGCGUAAAGAGCGUGUAGGCGGCCAAGUAGGUCCGGUGUGAAAACUCGAGGCUUAACCUCGAGAUGUCAUCGGAAACCAUUUGGCUAGAGUCCGGAAGAGGAGAAUGGAAUUCCUGGUGGAGCGGUGAAAUGCGCAGAUAUCAGGAGGAACACCCGUAGCGAAGGCGGCACUCUGGGCCGAUACUGACACUGAGGCGCGAAAGCGUGGGGAGCGAACAGG